UUAAUUCGAAUUUGUAUGGAGUUGGAACAGCUUCCCUUCGUUUGCCGCUAGGGGCGCUGUUUCUAACUCCAUACAAAUUUGAGUUA
rfam:Bombyx mori DNA, contig: Bm_scaf10_contig8382, strain: p50T/Dazao, build 2, whole genome shotgun sequence.